rnacentral:lncRNA from 1 species
GGCGCGCAGUCGCGUACGAGAGCUUCGAUCUCGCGUUGCACACCUCACUCUUGCCAAACUGAUUCUGAUGUUUGUGAAUAACAGAAAAGAGAAGAGAAGAGAAAAGAAGAGAAAAAAGAUGCUUCGUCUCAUACUCGUUCGCGUAGACUGGCUCUCGGCAACGAGAAUGAAUACCUAACUUGGAGAGGAUAGAUGAUGGGCGAAGUGACGAGAAAGACUGAACGAAUGAAAAAAAGAAAUAAUCAAAA